AGUGGGAUAGCUGAGACAAAUUGUGGCUUCAUUCCAAGUUUUCUGAGGAAUGUUCAUAUCUCUUUCCAUAAUGGUUGCAAUAAUUUGCAUUCUCACUAGCAAU
rnacentral:pre_miRNA from 1 species